AGAAGUUCCCUGGCUGCCCUAAUCCAUAUAAGGAUUCCAGAUGGCUUCCUAGUCCGUCCUCUUUUAUUUUUCCAUUUCUCGGUCUUAGAUCUGUUGUGUUCUUAUUGUUCUCCGGUUCUAGAGGGCUAAGAAUGGAUCUUUCGACUUCUGAAGCUGCGUAUUUGCUCGCUGAUUAUUGUUUCCAACGAUUUUCGGUCGCGGAUUCUGGCUAAUGAUUCCGAUCUGUAAGGUAUGAAGAAGAUGAUGUCAGAUCUAGGAUCUGUACCGUUCUGAUUUCCUUGUGGAGCAGCUACGUCUUGUCUUCGCCGGUGCAGAUGUUAGCAGUCGAAUUAAUAGGUGGUUCUUUGCUGCUGUUGAGGCGGUUCAUAAGCCUGGUGUUUGAAAAGUGUACGCACCAUUCGAUGGAAUCUGUACUUUGUAUAUAUUACCGAAAUCGCUGGAAAGGAGUGGAUGAGUGUGGCUCUUGGAUGUAAAAGGAAUCGGAGUUCAUCUUCCUAUUUGUGGAGGGUGAAUCCUGAUAUGUCUUUGUCAUCCGACCUUUGCCAUGACAGGUGCGCUUGCAUGGAAGGUCAUCGAUAAAAAAAAAUAAAGUAGUGAUGUUUUGGUUUUGAGGGAGAGACCGCACGGGGUUUGCCCGGGGUUUCUUCCUCUCUGGCUUGUGUUUUCCUACUUUUCUCUCUUUCUAUCAGUUCGUUUCUACAUCUGCAACCGCCAUCAACCGCGUCUCGGAUCUCGCGCCGUUUUUUAGCCAAGGUAUUCCUCUUGCACAUAACUAUCAUUAGAAGGAAAAGAGACUCACAAAUCUGCAUUACCUAAUAUACAAAUCUACAUCCAAAUAGUAGUACUUUUCAUGUAUAAAGUAGUUAGCGAAGUUAUUUACAGAGUUUCUCGUGUUUUUCAAAUGGUCAGAUAGUUUUUUUAAAAUCAAUCCUUAACAUGUGGGUCUCAAUUAUUUUUGUUAAUUCAUGGCCACAAUUUUAGGUUUAGUUUGGUACAAUUGCCUAAGACUGUUUUGUCUUUACUGUUUUUAACGUUAUUUUUAUAGACUAAAAGUUGACAUUAAGGAGGAAUUUAUUGAAGUGAUUUGAAUAUCAUCGAAACCAAUUUAUUUGAGUGAUUUGAAUAUCGUAGAAACCAAUUUUUGAAUCCUUUAAAACUUUCCUUCUCAAUCAUGUCGGAAAGUGUUUUUACUAUCCAUCUUGAUCACUCUUAUUAAUCACAAGUUCAUUACCUGCUCAUUUUGAUGAGUCGCAUGAUUCCUGCUGGUAAGUUCGUUAAUAAGCUUAUGAAAUAGUUCUAGUAUACGUCACAUGUAUUAUUAACACUAAUUGACUAUAGCUGUUCUUAAGUGCGCCUAUUCGCGACUAAUUACGUUGCAACAUGAUUCAAUGCUUCUUUUUGUCAACUUAAUUGUAGCCAGGCUUGCAAUUUGCCAUCUAUUCGCAUCAUCAAUUUAAUUUCAGCUUCCUUGUUUAUCUUUAUGUCUAUUAAGAGAAUUAUUUACUAAUAUUUCGCAUUAGUGGAACUAUGAUUGUAAUAUUUAUCUGUAUUUGCAAGCUUCCCGUAUGGGUAUGUAUUGAACUCUGGUGGAAAUCUUCGAGUUUCUCCAGUAUUUUUAGUUUGUGUAUUGUAAUUUAUAUUUGUAGUUAAGCUUUCCUAGAUGUUAAUUAUUUGAACGGGAGGAUUUGGUCUCAUAGAACGAUUUGCAAAGAAUGAUGCUGAAUAUGAAGGUACCUGUCAUUGGAUUGUGGAUGAUGUCCUGAUGAUCGUGGUUGGAAAUCUAAUCUUGAAGACUACCGAACUCGGCCCCGACUUGUUUACAAUGAUUUCAAGGUUUAAUGAACUGCUCAACUUUAAUUUCUGUUCUCGUUUACAAGUUUUUGUUCUUCAUUUUCAAUAAGGUUACCGAGUAAACUUGGUUUAAGUAUGGUUUAGUGCAUCUAGUUUUCAUACAUUUUGAAAUCAUAGAAGAACAAUCAACUUGCUCCAUGGUUCUUUCCC